CUCGGUUGUCUCAGGAGUGAACCGUUCAAAUGCAGCCCGCUGCAAAAGCCUUCUUAGAAGAAUGAAGCCUUUCAGUGCGUCCGCCGCUGUGAGACAUUUGUUGAAGCGUCAUUGCAGUUCACCACCACGAGCCACAAUGCCUACAGAGACCGCCUUGGGGCAUUUAGGAAAAAGAGCAAAUGGAAGACUUUCUGUGUUGAAUUGAUAUAACUCCAUUGCCCCCUCCCCUGGUUGUUGAUGUUCACUACAUCCUUGUAGGAAUCGGGGGAGGGGGGAGGGUGGAACUUGUUUAGAGCUAAACUACUGAGGCAUGUGGAGCCUGGUAUCGACAGCAUGUCAUUCCUGCAUGUAUAGACUGGGUGUGAAUAAAGUUAUGAGGCCACAUUAAAGGAGAGCUAGAUUGACAGUCACACUGAGUUAGAUGUACACACAGUUUCCUAUUAAAAAAAAAACAACAACAACAA